AUCACAUCACCCCAGGGUGGAUAUGGACGGCGUUAUUAACCUGUCUGAAAUACAUGAGUACUGCAAAGUGCCAAUAGAGACAGUCCUUCGGGAAUAUCUAGUAACACUUUGUAUCAUCCUCUCUUUGAAU
rnacentral:misc_RNA from 1 species